AGCUUUGCACAGUGGCAGUAUCGUAGCCAAUGAGGUUUAUCUGAGGCGCGAUUAUUGCUCAUUGAAAACUUGCUCACAACCUCCGGUUCCCCCACACACACAUACACACUAUAAGCCCAGUAUCGAUGAGCUGUGCCCUGUCCCCUGCGUGCCUCAUUUUCUGGCCCACAGCUCUGU
ensembl:snRNA LOC120096858 U4 spliceosomal RNA